GAUGAACGCUGGCGGCGUGCCUAAUACAUGCAAGUCGAACGCUGAAGCUUGGUGCUUGCACCGAGCGGAUGAGUUGCGAACGGGUGAGUAACGCGUAGGUAACCUGCCUCUUAGCGGGGGAUAACUAUUGGAAACGAUAGCUAAUACCGCAUAAAAGUCGAUAUCGCAUGAUAUUGAUUUGAAAGGUGCAAAUGCAUCACUAAGAGAUGGACCUGCGUUGUAUUAGCUAGUUGGUGAGGUAACGGCUCACCAAGGCGACGAUACAUAGCCGACCUGAGAGGGUGAUCGGCCACACUGGGACUGAGACACGGCCCAGACUCCUACGGGAGGCAGCAGUAGGGAAUCUUCGGCAAUGGGGGCAACCCUGACCGAGCAACGCCGCGUGAGUGAAGAAGGGUGUCGGAUCGUAAAGCUCUGUUGUAAGAGAAGAACGAGUGUGAGAGUGGAAAGUUCACACUGUGACGGUAACUUACCAGAAAGGGACGGCUAACUACGUG
rnacentral:rRNA from 1 species